AGGACAGUGCUUUCAGUUGGUAACACCUUUUACUCAAACAAAUUUAUAUUGGCUUUAUCAUUUUAAAACUUAAAAUCUAAACUUCACAAAAGGGAUUCAAAAUGGUAGUUUAGUGCUCACUGCAGCAGCACAUACGCAAAACAGCAGUUUAAUGUUGAAAUAGUUUUUCUCAUCAAAUGCACAUUUGCACAUAUUUCAUAAUUAACAGUGAGAGUAAUAAAGUUCCUAGUGAAUAAAGAAUUCCUGAAUGGCUCCAGCAAUAGAGUACCACAAACUUGUCUGUUGACCUCAGGAGGAUUAAUUCUGUGCCAAACUUCACUGCCUCUUACAUCCUACUGACAGGAAGGGUCGGCGUAUGAGAAGGAAAAGAGAACUUUGCUAAAAAAAAAGCCAAACGGUUCUGCUUGAACCAACUACGAAGGUACUACAUAUUAAGCCGAGCGUCAUGGAGACAAAACAGAAAUGCAAUCUUUGGAUGCUGCUGCUGCUCUGUGCUUUUGCCUGCUGAGGCUGCUAAAGGAGGAGAAAGACGGCCUGCUUGGGCUAAGAAAGUUUAAUACCUUGGAGCUGAUAUGUAAGCUAUCCUCAUCACAAGUGAUUUCAAGAAAGCUGCUGGAAUGCAGUGCCUCCUGGAGCAUGCACCUUGACACGAAUUGCUAAACUUCAAGAGGAAUUUACUUUCUGUAGAUAAUGUCUAAGAGAGAGGAACGUGGGAUCUCAUCAAACUGACCACCAAAAAGCUAACAGCAAGGAAGGAUGAAAAACAAGAAAGAGACUGGAAGUGACAAACUUAAAGAGAAAGAAAACAAAAAUUUUGUAUCCUAUCAUCAUUCUUAACAAACAGCUGUGCAUUUGUUAGUGUUAAUGAGGAUACACAUGGAACGUUUCUGAGAAAAUCAGAGGUUGUUUGAAAGUACACACAGAUUCUGGAUGAUACUGGAAACCAAUUAUAGUACACUAGCAAGCAUUAAACAGUUUUUUCCAGAUUUAAUCAUGAGGAAUACGCAGAUUAAAGAGAUGUGAGAAGAAGUUAUGUGCUCACCCAAUGGCUAAAGACCGUAACAGAGAUGGUCUUAGCUGUGAUAUGGAUUUAAAAAUGCUGACAAAAAAUAAAUCACCAUACUUAAUUGUUCUCUAGUCCAUCACCACUGAAUAGAAAAUGAAAUCUAGAUUUCUUUGUUUGGCAUGGAAAGUUUCCCACUUUCUGGUCACUAAUCCUUCUUUUUACUCAUUACUAGCCCCAGACACCUGUUUCAUGCCCUCAUGCCUUUGUCUAUGCUUUUGCUAUUCCCUGGAAUUUAUAUUAUUAAUUUAUUUGCUAAGUGGAUUAAUCCUCCAAAUUUUUUUCUGAAAAUCAUGAAGACUUCCAUGGGUACUUGAGACAGUCAAAUGUUUUAUUUCCAUACUUACCCUCAACAGAUAUUUUUGUUUUAUGGCUGGCCAGCAUUUGGUCCAGCUCCUUUUGAUGAUAGCUGUGUCUUCUUGGGCAAUUUCUCCAUUGGACACACAUACUGGGAUAUUAAUCUA